GGAACUCAAUUGAGGAUGGCUGAAACUUCAUGGCUCUGAUAAGGUCCCAUGGUUUAAGAUAAUUUUUUUCAGAAGCUAUUGUUUUGGAUGUCUUUGGACUCUUUGAAGACAUAUAUUUUACAACUUCUUGAAUUGAGAUCAGAAUGAAUAAGAAGUUAGUGUAAUUGAAGAUUAGUUGUGACCUUUCCAUAGUCUCUAAAGCUUUCUGAAGCUUGUGAAGCCAUUUCACUGAGGAUCAAAUGGAAUUUCCCUUAUUUCAGUCUUAUUUCAGUUGGGCCCAUUGAUUUGCCCUUUCACUGGGAGACCAGAUGAUCCAGCCCCUUAAUCGUUUUCUUGACCCUUCACUGGACUCCAGUCUAUCUAUGUACCGGGGCACAGCAAUUCAGUUGUCUCACCAAGGCUGAGCAGAGAAGGGCCACGGUCACCAACCUGCCUACAAUGCUCCUCCUAAUGCAGCCCAAGAUGCUGUCAGCCUUCUUUGCCACAAGGGUGCAUCGCUGGCUAAUUUUCAACUCGUGGUCGACCAGGACCCCCACUUUGUAACCUUGUAUGCAAAAUUGAUCACCCUCGAUAUACUGGUGCAUGGAGUUAUUCUUCCCAAAGUACUCGACUUCACAUUUUUACCAGUCUGUAGUUCCCAUGUUGCCCUUCUAGAAGAUGGUAUCAUUUGAAUCCUUCCAGUUCUCAGGAACAUCCCGAUUGCCAUGACUUUUCAAACACAAAAAACUUUAAAAGUUAUCUUCCCAGAAAUCUAAUCAGUCUUUGAAAUUAAACCGAAGAGGCUUUUGAAGAGGAUACUCUCUACUAGAGAUACUAGAUUCUCUCCUCUCCCAUCAAUUGCUUCUGGAGGGAAUCAGCAAAUUAUUGUGUUAAAGUGAAGCCUUGGAAUGCUAAUACAGAACGUCACUAAAUUCAGAAAUUACUCUGUGGUAGCAGAGUAGGUUCCUGUUAAAUUUUCCACAGUGUGUUAUUUUCUUUUUAUUAUUAUUAUUAUUAUUAUAUAAGAUAAAAUCUCUAUCAUUAAUAGAAGUUCUAGCCUUUGAGUAAUAUCCUUUGAGUUAAUCUGGGUAUGACACUCAAAGAAAAAUUUGGAGCUUACUGUACUGGUUAUAAUUACUUGUCAAAUCCAUUGGCCACAAUUGUCUUAUUAUAAAAUUCUAUACCCUUUUUUUUUUUUUCUCCAAAUGUCUGUUUUAUGUAAUAGAAAAGUAUAUGAAAUAUAUUCAUAUUAUGUAGUAUCAAUAACUGUUGUAUGGUCUUAGCAAUUUUUUGCAAGGUCUCCUAUUAGGUUAAAUCAAUGGAACUGUGGUAAAAUGCUUAACUAUUGGUCUACUUUGCUAUUUAAAAUGAAAGUACAAAGGAGUGUCAAGACAAAUCUCAGUGCAUUUUUUUUUUUUUUCCUGAUCAGCAGUUUAGGAUGCAACUCUUGUAUUAAUAACUCUGAAUACAUUAUUGAUGAGGAAAGGAGACUUCUAGUGGAGUUCUCUCUAAAUGCUCAGUAUAACUCCGUGUGAAUUGUAUUGCACUGGGGUUGUCCAAAUCUUGAAACAUCUGUUAGUAUUUCAAGGAAAAUAAAUAAAUCCCGAUAGCAGUGUAAGCUGCAUAUGGGGCAAAGACUUUACACAU